GCGGCAAAAGCUCAAAUUUGAAAUCUGGUACCUUCGGUGCCCGAGUUGUAAUUUGGAGAGGGCAACUUUGGGGCCGUUCCUUGUCUAUGUUCCUUGGAACAGGACGUCAUAGAGGGUGAGAAUCCCGUGUGGCGAGGAGUGCGGUUCUUUGUAAAGUGCCUUCGAAGAGUCGAGUUGUUUGGGAAUGCAGCUCUAAGUGGGUGGUAAAUUCCAUCUAAAGCUAAAUAUUGGCGAGAGACCGAUAGCGAACAAGUACAGUGAUGGAAAGAUGAAAAGAACUUUGAAAAGAGAGUGAAAAAGUACGUGAAAUUGUUGAAAGGGAAGGGCAUUUGAUCAGACAUGGUGUUUUGUGCCCUCUGCUCCUUGUGGGUAGGGGAAUCUCGCAUUUCACUGGGCCAGCAUCAGUUUUGGUGGCAGGAUAAAUCCAUAGGAAUGUAGCUUGCCUCGGUAAGUAUUAUAGCCUGUGGGAAUACUGCCAGCUGGGACUGAGGACUGCGACGUAA
rnacentral:rRNA from 1 species